UAAUACGGAGGGUGCAAGCGUUAAUCGGAAUUACUGGGCGUAAAGCGCACGCAGGCGGUUUGUUAAGUCAGAUGUGAAAUCCCCGGGCUCAACCUGGGAACUGCAUUUGAAACUGGCAAGCUAGAGUCUCGUAGAGGGGGGUAGAAUUCCAGGUGUAGCGGUGAAAUGCGUAGAGAUCUGGAGGAAUACCGGUGGCGAAGGCGGCCCCCUGGACGAAGACUGACGCUCAGGUGCGAAAGCGUGGGGAGCAAACAGGAUUAGAUACCCUGGUAGUCCACGCUGUAAACGAUGUCGAUUUGGAGGUUGUGCCCUUAAGGCGUGGCUUCCGGAGCUAACGCGUUAAAUCGACCGCCUGGGGAGUACGGCCGCAAGGUUA
rnacentral:rRNA from 1 species